rnacentral:lncRNA from 1 species
AAUUACUAAAAAAUAUCAAAUGAAAAAAUAAAAAAUAUUAAAAAUCAUUUUUAGAAAGUAGAAAUUAAAAGGAGAAGAAUGAAAUUGGUCCCAUAAUUUUUGGACCAAUAAUGAGAGAGAUAUGAAUUUUUAAAAUGAAAUGGAAUUAAAUUCAUUUUUAGAAAGUAGAAAUUAAAAGGAGAAGAAUGAAAUUGGUCCCAUAAUUUUUGGACCAAUAAUGAGAGAGAUAUGAAUUUUUAAAAUGAAAUGGA